UGCAGCCUUGUCAAUUUCAGUGGGUUCUAUCCAGCUGACUUUGCUGGCCAAUGUUGCUGCUAAAGACAAUGUAGUUGAUAGGCCCCACCUCCUUCCUUACUGGGGAUAAAUAGGUGUUGCAAACAAAC